GAUGAACGCUGGCGGCGUGCCUAAUACAUGCAAGUCGAGCGAACAGACGAGGCGCUUGCUCCUCUGACGUUAGCGGCGGACGGGUGAGUAACACGUGGAUAACCUACCUAUAGGACUGGGAUAACUUCGGGAAACCGGAGCUAAUACCGGAUAAUAUAUUGAACCGCAUGGUUCAAUAGUGAAAGACGGAUUUGCUGUCACUUAUAGAUGGAUCCGCGCCGCAUUAGCUAGUUGGUAAGGUAACGGCUUACCAAGGCAACGAUGCGUAGCCGACCUGAGAGGGUGAUCGGCCACACUGGAACUGAGACACGGUCCAGACUCCUACGGGAGGCAGCAGUAGGGAAUCUUCCGCAAUGGGCGAAAGCCUGACGGAGCAACGCCGCGUGAGUGAUGAAGGUCUUCGGAUCGUAAAGCUCUGUUAUUAGGGAAGAACAAAUGUGUAAUUAACUAUGCACGUCUUGACGGUACCUAAUGAGAAAGCCACGGCUAACUACGUG
rnacentral:rRNA from 1 species